CAGCAGCCGCGGGAACACGAAGGGUGCAAGCGUUACUCGGAAUUACUGGGCGUAAAGCGUGCGUAGGUGGUGGUUUAAGUCCGUUGUGAAAGCCCUGGGCUCAACCUGGGAAUUGCAGUGGAUACUGGGUCACUAGAGUGUGGUAGAGGAUAGUGGAAUUUCCGGUGUAGCAGUGAAAUGCGUAGAGAUCGGAAGGAACAUCUGUGGCGAAGGCGACUAUCUGGGCCAACACUGACACUGAGGCACGAAAGCGUGGGGAGCAAACAGGAUUAGAUACCCGCGUAGUCCCUGUCUCUUAUAC
rnacentral:rRNA from 1 species